rnacentral:rRNA from 1 species
ACGGAGCACGCCGCGUGAGUGAUGAAGGUUUUCGGAUCGUAAAGCUCUGUUGUUAGGGAAGAACAAGUGCGAGAGUAACUGCUCGCACCUUGACGGUACCUAACCAGAAAAGCCACGGCUAACUACGUGCCAGCAGCCGCGGUAAUACGUAGGUGGCAAGCGUUGUCCGGAAUUAUUGGGCGUAAAGGGCUCGCAGGCGGUUUCUUAAGUCUGAUGUGAAAGCCCCCGGCUCAACCGGGGAGGGUCAUUGGAAACUGGGAAACUUGAGUGCAGAAAGGAGAGUGGAAUUCCACGUGUAGCGGUGAAAUGCGUAAGAUGUGGAGGAACACCAGUGGCGAAGGCGACUCUCUGGUCUGUAACUGACGCUGAGGAGCGAAAGCGUGGGGAGCGAACAGGAUUAGAUACCCUGGUAGUCCACGCCGUAAACGAUGAGUGCUAAGUGUUAGGGGGUUUCCGCCCCUUAGUGCUGCAGCUAACGCAUUAAGCACUCCGCGCUGGGGA